rnacentral:rRNA from 1 species
GACGAACGCUGGCGGCGUGCUUAACACAUGCAAGUCGAACGAGUGGCGAACGGGUGAGUAACACGUGGGUGACCUUCCCUGCACUUCGGGAUAAGCCUGGGAAACUGGGUCUAAUACCGGAUAGUGGGGGAUGGGCCCGCGGCCUAUCAGCUUGUUGGUGGGGUAAUGGCGACCAAGGCGCGACGGGUAGCCGGCCGGAGAGGGUGGACGGCAACAGAGCAACUGAGACCAGGGCCUAACUCCUACGUGAGGCAGCAGUGAGGAAUAUUGGUCAAUGGGCGAGAGCCUGAACCAGCAAAGUAGCGUGCAGGAAGACGGGCUAGGGGUGGUAAACUGCUGGUAGGCGGGGAUAGGUACCGCAUGAAUAAGGACCGGCUAAUUCCGUGCCAGCAGCCGCGGUAAUAC